rnacentral:rRNA from 1 species
GGGUUGUGAGGUUAAGCGACUAAGCGUACACGGUGGAUGCCCUGGCAGUCAGAGGCGAUGAAGGACGUGCUAAUCUGCGAUAAGCGUCGGUAAGGUGAUAUGAACCGUUAUAACCGGCGAUUUCCGAAUGGGGAAACCCAGUGUGAUUCGUCACACUAUCAUUAACUGAAUCCAUAGGUUAAUGAGGCGAACCGGGGGAACUGAAACAUCUAAGUACCCCGAGGAAAAGAAAUCAACCGAGAUUCCCCCAGUAGCGGCGAGCGAACGGGGAGCAGCCCAGAGCCUGAAUCAGUGUGUGUGUUAGUGGAAGCGUCUGGAAAGGCGCGCGAUACAGGGUGACAGCCCCGUACACAAAAAUGCACAUACUGUGAGCUCGAUGAGUAGGGCGGGACACGUGGUAUCCUGUCUGAAUAUGGGGGGACCAUCCUCCAAGGCUAAAUACUCCUGACUGACCGAUAGUGAACCAGUACCGUGAGGGAAAGGCGAAAAGAACCCCGGCGAGGGGAGUGAAAAAGAACCUGAAACCGUGUACGUACAAGCAGUGGGAGCCUCUUUUAUGGGGUGACUGCGUACCUUUUGUAUAAUGGGUCAGCGACUUAUAUUCUGUAGCAAGGUUAACCGAAUAGGGGAGCCGAAGGGAAACCGAGUCUUAACCGGGCGUUAAGUUGCAGGGUAUAGACCCGAAACCCGGUGAUCUAGCCAUGGGCAGGUUGAAGGUUGGGUAACACUAACUGGAGGACCGAACCGACUAAUGUUGAAAAAUUAGCGGAUGACUUGUGGCUGGGGGUGAAAGGCCAAUCAAACCGGGAGAUAGCUGGUUCUCCCCGAAAGCUAUUUAGGUAGCGCCUCGUGAAUUCAUCUCCGGGGGUAGAGCACUGUUUCGGCAAGGGGGUCAUCCCGACUUACCAACCCGAUGCAAACUGCGAAUACCGGAGAAUGUUAUCACGGGAGACACACGGCGGGUGCUAACGUCCGUCGUGAAGAGGGAAACAACCCAGACCGCCAGCUAAGGUCCCAAAGUCAUGGUUAAGUGGGAAACGAUGUGGGAAGGCCCAGACAGCCAGGAUGUUGGCUUAGAAGCAGCCAUCAUUUAAAGAAAGCGUAAUAGCUCACUGGUCGAGUCGGCCUGCGCGGAAGAUGUAACGGGGCUAAACCAUGCACCGAAGCUGCGGCAGCGACACUGUGUGUUGUUGGGUAGGGGAGCGUUCUGUAAGCCUGUGAAGGUGUACUGUGAGGUAUGCUGGAGGUAUCAGAAGUGCGAAUGCUGACAUAAGUAACGAUAAAGCGGGUGAAAAGCCCGCUCGCCGGAAGACCAAGGGUUCCUGUCCAACGUUAAUCGGGGCAGGGUGAGUCGACCCCUAAGGCGAGGCCGAAAGGCGUAGUCGAUGGGAAACAGGUUAAUAUUCCUGUACUUGGUGUUACUGCGAAGGGGGGACGGAGAAGGCUAUGUUGGCCGGGCGACGGUUGUCCCGGUUUAAGCGUGUAGGCUGGUUUUCCAGGCAAAUCCGGAAAAUCAAGGCUGAGGCGUGAUGACGAGGCACUACGGUGCUGAAGCAACAAAUGCCCUGCUUCCAGGAAAAGCCUCUAAGCAUCAGGUAACAUCAAAUCGUACCCCAAACCGACACAGGUGGUCAGGUAGAGAAUACCAAGGCGCUUGAGAGAACUCGGGUGAAGGAACUAGGCAAAAUGGUGCCGUAACUUCGGGAGAAGGCACGCUGAUAUGUAGGUGAAGUCCCUCGCGGAUGGAGCUGAAAUCAGUCGAAGAUACCAGCUGGCUGCAACUGUUUAUUAAAAACACAGCACUGUGCAAACACGAAAGUGGACGUAUACGGUGUGACGCCUGCCCGGUGCCGGAAGGUUAAUUGAUGGGGUCAGCGCAAGCGAAGCUCUUGAUCGAAGCCCCGGUAAACGGCGGCCGUAACUAUAACGGUCCUAAGGUAGCGAAAUUCCUUGUCGGGUAAGUUCCGACCUGCACGAAUGGCGUAAUGAUGGCUAGGCUGUCUCCACCCGAGACUCAGUGAAAUUGAACUCGCUGUGAAGAUGCAGUGUACCCGCGGCAAGACGGAAAGACCCCGUGAACCUUUACUAUAGCUUGACACUGAACAUUGAGCCUUGAUGUGUAGGAUAGGUGGGAGGCUUUGAAGUGUGGACGCCAGUCUGCAUGGAGCCGACCUUGAAAUACCACCCUUUAAUGUUUGAUGUUCUAACGUGGACCCGUGAUCCGGGUUGCGGACAGUGUCUGGUGGGUAGUUUGACUGGGGCGGUCUCCUCCUAAAGAGUAACGGAGGAGCACGAAGGUUGGCUAAUCCUGGUCGGACAUCAGGAGGUUAGUGCAAUGGCAUAAGCCAGCUUGACUGCGAGCGUGACGGCGCGAGCAGGUGCGAAAGCAGGUCAUAGUGAUCCGGUGGUUCUGAAUGGAAGGGCCAUCGCUCAACGGAUAAAAGGUACUCCGGGGAUAACAGGCUGAUACCGCCCAAGAGUUCAUAUCGACGGCGGUGUUUGGCACCUCGAUGUCGGCUCAUCACAUCCUGGGGCUGAAGUAGGUCCCAAGGGUAUGGCUGUUCGCCAUUUAAAGUGGUACGCGAGCUGGGUUUAGAACGUCGUGAGACAGUUCGGUCCCUAUCUGCCGUGGGCGCUGGAGAACUGAGGGGGGCUGCUCCUAGUACGAGAGGACCGGAGUGGACGCAUCACUGGUGUUCGGGUUGUCAUGCCAAUGGCACUGCCCGGUAGCUAAAUGCGGAAGAGAUAAGUGCUGAAAGCAUCUAAGCACGAAACUUGCCCCGAGAUGAGUUCUCCCUGACCCUUUAAGGGUCCUGAAGGAACGUUGAAGACGACGACGUUGAUAGGCCGGGUGUGUAAGCGCAGCGAUGCGUUGAGCUAACCGGUACUAAUGAACCGUGAGGCUUAACCUUACAACGCCGAAGGUGUUU